rnacentral:tRNA from 1 species
CAGGGGUUAGUUUAUUAAAAUAUCAGUUUUGGGGAUUGAUGUAAGGGAAGUUCCCUACCCCUGA